rnacentral:piRNA from 1 species
UACUGCAGUUUUGAUCUUGGCUGUUGAGC